UCUGGUCUUGGGACACUGUCAGGUGGGCAGUUUGACUGGGGCGGUCGCCUCCCAAAAGGUAACGGAGGCGCUCAAAGGUUCUCUCAGUACGGUCGGAAAUCGUACGUAGAGUGUAAAGGCAAAAGAGAGCUUGAUUGCAAGACAUACAGGUCGAGCAAGGAUGAAAAUCGGACUUAGUGAUCCGGUGGUUCUGCGUGGAAGGGCCAUCGCUCAACGGAUAAAAGCUACCCUGGGGAUAACAGGCUUAUCUCCCCCAAGAGUCCACAUCGACGGGGAGGUUUGGCACCUCGAUGUCGGCUCAUCACAUCCUGGGGCUGUAGUAGGUCCCAAGGGUUGGGCUGUUCGCCCAUUAAAGUGGUACGCGAGCUGGGUUCAGAACGUCGUGAGACAGUUCGGUCCCUAUCCGUCGCAGGCGUAGGAAAUUUGAGAAGACCUGUCCUUAGUACGAGAGGACCGGGAUGGACGUACCUCUGGUGUACCAGUUGUCCUGCCAAGGGCAUGGCUGGGUAGCUAUGUGCGGAAUGGAUAAGCGCUGAAAGCAUCUAAGCGCGAAGCCAACUUCAAGAUAAGAUUUCCCACCGCAAGGGUAAGACCCCAGAAAGACUA
rnacentral:rRNA from 1 species